UACGAAGGGGGCUAGCGUUGUCCGGAAUCAUUGGGCGUAAAGAGCGUGUAGGCGGCCCGGUAAGUCCGCUGUAAAAGUCAAAGGCUCAACCUUUGAAUGUCAGUGGAUACUGUCGGGCUUGAGUCCGGAAGAGGCGAGUGGAACUCCUGGUGUAGCGGUGGAAUGCGCAGAUAUCAGGAAGAACACCAACGGCGAAGGCAGCUCGCUAGGACGGUACUGACGCUGAGACGCGAAAGCGUGGGGAGCGAACAGG
rnacentral:rRNA from 1 species